AUGGGCGGGACCAAGACGGCCGACGAGGUGCGCCGCCACUACGAGAUCCUCGACGGCGACAUCAAGCUGAUCGAGUCCGGCAGGGUCCCGUUCCCCAAGUAUAAUACCCAGGGGGCCUGGAACUGA
rnacentral:rRNA from 1 species